GGACUACCCGGGUAUCUAAUCCCGUUCGCUCCCCUGGCUUUCGCGCCUCAGCGUCAGUUGAGGUCCAGCGCGCCGCUUUCGCCGCCGGCGUUCCUUCCGAUAUCAACACAUUUCACCGCUCCACCGGAAGUUCCGCGCGCCCCUACCUCACUCCAGGCGGCCAGUCUCCAAGGCAGUUCCCCGGUUGAGCCGGGGGCUUUCACCCCGGACUUGGCCGCCCGCCUACGCGCCCUUUAAGCCCAGUGAUUCCGAACAACGUUCGCACGGUUCGUCUUACCGCGGCUGCUGGCAC
rnacentral:rRNA from 3 species